rnacentral:rRNA from 1 species
AAGUUCCGACCCGCACGAAAGGCGCAACGAUCUGGGCACUGUCUCAACGAGAGACUCGGUGAAAUUAUAGUACCUGUGAAGAUGCAGGUUACCCGCGACAGGACGGAAAGACCCCGUGGAGCUUUACUGCAGCCUGAUAUUGAAUGUUGGUACAGCUUGUACAGGAUAGGUAGGAGCCUUGGAAACCGGAGCGCUAGCUUCGGUGGAGGCAUCGGUGGGAUACUACCCUGGCUGUAUUGACCUUCUAACCCGCUGCCCUUAUCGGGCAGGGAGACAGUGUCAGGUGGGCAGUUUGACUGGGGCGGUCGCCUCCUAAAAUGUAACGGAGGCGCCCAAAGGUUCCCUCAGAAUGGUUGGAAAUCAUUCGCAGAGUGUAAAGGCACAAGGGAGCUUGACUGCGAGACCUACAAGUCGAGCAGGGACGAAAGUCGGGCUUAGUGAUCCGGUGGUUCCGCAUGGAAGGGCCAUCGCUCAACGGAUAAAAGCUACCCCGGGGAUAACAGGCUUAUCUCCCCCAAGAGUCCACAUCGACGGGGAGGUUUGGCACCUCGAUGUCGGCUCAUCGCAUCCUGGGGCUGUAGUCGGUCCCAAGGGUUGGGCUGUUCGCCCAUUAAAGCGGUACGCGAGCUGGGUUCAGAACGUCGUGAGACAGUUCGGUCCCUAUCCGUCGCGGGCGCAGGAAAUUUGAGAGGAGCUGUCCUUAGUACGAGAGGACCGGGAUGGACGCACCGCUGGUGUACCAGUUGUUCUGCCAAGGGCAUCGCUGGGUAGCUAUGUGCGGACGGGAUAAGUGCUGAAAGCAUCUAAGCAUGAAGCCCCCCUCAAGAUGAGAUUUCCCAUUCCGCAAGGAAGUAAGAUCCCUGAAAGAUGAUCAGGUUGAUAGGUCUGAGGUGGAAGCGUGGUGACACGUGGAGCUGACAGAUACUAAUAGAUCGAGGACUUAACCUAUA